rnacentral:lncRNA from 1 species
AUCCUGCAAGUCUGGACAUGCCCUCGGAAGGGCAGCCCCAGGCAAGGUGCUAGGAGGGCAUCUUUCCCGUGGAAGUUUCAUCUCCUGGUUUCAGGAAGAAAAGAGGAGGUCAGAGAACUCUUCUUGCACCUGCUGUAUUUCAAGUGCCUUGAAACAGCCCUUCUGCCAAAGUGGACUAUUUUGGGGUGGUAUUUUCUGCUACUCUUCAGCCUCAAUGUGAAUUCUAGGCCAUAAGAACCCUAUGGAAAGGGGGAGGAGGGUUCUCCCACUUCCCUGACAAGAUACUACAAAACUGAAGCUGGACCGGAAGGGGUUGGCUGGGGACCGGUCAUGGAAGACUUUUGAUUCGCUCUAAAAGCGGGAAUUAGAAUUGUGGACACCAACAAUUGCAUCCAUCUAUCGUCAGUUUGGAUUCCUUCUCUGAAUUUAUGAAUGCACUGGAAUGUUUUCCUGAGUCACACAUUGGAGUAAGCUAUCCAACGCAGUUGUGUGGAAACUUUCAAAGUGGGAUCCAAAGAAGACCCCCCAACCGAUGACUCUGAGGCCAGUGAGCAAACAGGUGCUGGUACCCACAGAGCCCACUGAGCUCACUGCUUUCUCACUGACCCUGGAAUUUGAGGGAUCAGACAGCUGGAUGAAAUGAAUAAUAACCGCACACAUGAUGAAGACGAUGACUACAUGGCCCUCUGGCCUGACGACUCAACUCGUGGAAACAGCAAAUAACAUGAUUCUUUGGCCUGAUUACAUCAAUGGUAAUAACCCCUAAUAAUGCUAAACUAGUCUGAGAGAAUGACCAAAAGGGGGGAAUUGUUAAAAUCAAAAACAAAUGGAGACCAUCCAUGAAAAUUCCCUGAGCAGACAAAACAAGUUUAAUCAUACAAGGAAAGCUUAAUUUAGCUUAUUUUGCAAGACUAACUUGCCCUGGGUCAUUUCUUGCUUAUGUCUCUGGAAAUUACAAGCAAAAUUUGAACUGCUUCCCUAGGUUGAUAUGAGGUAAUCACUGAAAAUUCUAAUAUUAUAACCAAUACUGUGAAGAAUAAACAGUCACUGCUUUCUCACUAUAUAAGUUGCUUUAUAACAAUAUACCCCUGAGCCUCGUUCCAUGUUUUGGUUUGAGUGCUCCUGGUUUGCAGACUGUCUUUUUGGUGUGUACAAUAAACUUU